rnacentral:rRNA from 1 species
AGUGAACGCUGGCGGUAGGCCUAACACAUGCAAGUCGAACGGCAGCACAGUAAGAGCUUGCUCUUACGGGUGGCGAGUGGCGGACGGGUGAGGAAUACAUCGGAAUCUACUUUUUCGUGGGGGAUAACGUAGGGAAACUUACGCUAAUACCGCAUACGACCUACGGGUGAAAGCAGGGGAUCUUCGGACCUUGCGCGAUUGAAUGAGCCGAUGUCGGAGUAGCUAGUUGGCGGGGUAAAGGCCCACCAAGGCGACGAUCCGUAGCUGGUCUGAGAGGAUGAUCAGCCACACUGGAACUGGGACGCGGUCCAGACUCCUACGGGAGGCAGCAGUGGGGAAUGUUGGACAAUGGGCGCAAGCCUGAUCCAGCCAUACCGAGUGGGUGAAGAAGGCCUUCGGGUUGUAAAGCCCUUUUGUUGGGAAAGAAAAGCAGCAGGUUAAUACCCCGCUGUUCUGACGGUACCCAAAGAAUAAGCACCGGCUAACUUCGUG